rnacentral:rRNA from 1 species
GACGAACGCUGGCGGCGUGCUUAACACAUGCAAGUCGAACGAUGAAGAAGAGAAACGCGAACUUCGGUUCAAAUUUCACUUCGGAUUAGUGGCAGACGGGUGAGUAACGCGUGAGCAACCUACCUCUUACAAAGGGAUAGCCUCGGGAAACCGUGAUUAAUACCAUAUGACACAUUCAUAAGGCAUCUUAAGAAUGUUAAAGCUACGGCGGUAAGAGAUGGGCUCGCGUCCCAUUAGCUAGUUGGUGAGGUAACGGCCCACCAAGGCGACGAUGGGUAACCGGCCUGAGAGGGUGAACGGUCACAUUGGAACUGAGACACGGUCCAAACUCCUACGGGAGGCAGCAGUGGGGAAUAUUGCACAAUGGAGGGAACUCUGAUGCAGCGACGCCGCGUGAGCGAUGAAGGAAUUCGUUUCGUAAAGCUCUGUUCUAUGGGAAGAAAAGGACUGUACCAUUGGAGAAAGCCCCGGCUAAAUACGUG